UACCAGCACCCCGAGUGGUCGGGACGUUUUAUUGGGCCUAAAGCAUCCGUAGCCGGUUCUACAAGUCUUCCGUUAAAUCCACCUGCUCAACAGAUGGGCUGCGGAAGAUACUAUGGAGCUAGGAGGCGGGAGAGGCAAGCGGUACUCGAUGGGUAGGGGUAAAAUCCGUUGAUCCAUUGAAGACCACCAGUGGCGAAGGCGGCUUGCCAGAACGCGCUCGACGGUGAGGGAUGAAAGCUGGGGGGAGCAAACAGG
rnacentral:rRNA from 1 species